CCCGCCACUGCAUUCUCGCGACUAAUGAAAAAAAUAGCAGGGUUAUCUCUUUCAUUAGCCGCGCGAACCUCUGCAAUGCAAGAUCGCUGACGAUAUUUCAACGGCUUACUACAUUAACCUCAUUUGCCGUUGCUUCCUAGAAGAAAGGGGCCAGAUUUGGCCCCUUUAC
rnacentral:sRNA from 1 species